GAUGAACGCUGGCGGCGUGCCUAAUACAUGCAAGUCGAGCGAAUGGAUUAAGAGCUUGCCCUUAUGAAGUUAGCGGCGGACGGGUGAGUAACACGUGGGUAACCUGCCCAUAAGACUGGGAUAACUCCGGGAAACCGGGGCUAAUACCGGAUAACAUUUUGAACCGCAUGGUUCGAAAUUGAAAGGCGGCUUCGGCUGUCACUUAUGGAUGGACCCGCGUCGCAUUAGCUAGUUGGUGAGGUAACGGCUCACCAAGGCAACGAUGCGUAGCCGACCUGAGAGGGUGAUCGGCCACACUGGGACUGAGACACGGCCCAGACUCCUACGGGUGGCAGCAGUAGGGAAUCUUCCGCAAUGGACGAAAGUCUGACGGAGCAACGCCGCGUGAGUGAUGAAGGCUUUCGGGUCGUAAAACUCUGUUGUUAGGGAAGAACAAGUGCUAGUUGAAUAAGCUGGCACCUUGACGGUACCUAACCAGAAAGCCACGGCUAACUACGUGCCAGCAGCCGCAGUAA
rnacentral:rRNA from 1 species